UCGCAAUAAAUGUAUACGUUUAAUAAGUACUGGGUCGUGAAUCUCGUGAAUGAUUCAUUCCUAGUGUCGUAUCUCAUAUACUUUUUUCUUUUCACUUAGGUAUUAUUUUAAUUCUUGUAUUGUGGUUUUACUCAGGUCUGUCCCGUAGAGUUAGGACGGUGUAUCUUUUCAGUCUGUGUGUAGUUUCUGUAUGGUCUAGUACAGCCAUGUCCAACUUCAAACAGGCUGUGAUCGACUUUUUAGUGUCAUAACCGUAAAAACUGGCAGUGAUCUACAAUCCCGUCAUAUCGUCAUACGUCGCUUUAAGCAAAAAUAUUGGUAAAAGUGACACGACACAGGAUGUUUGUUGUAAAAACAAAAUACAUUGAAAGCUUAUGAGAUGACCAAAAAUCGUCCCGCCAUCGACGCCUUCGACAUGCCUGGCCUAGUAGAGAAGGAAGCUUGAGGACCUGCAGGAGGAGUUAAAGUACCUUAAGCAGACCAGUGAAUUGACUAUCACCAUAAUGGAAUGCAGAGUAUCUCAAAUGGAAGAGAGAGUCGAUACCAUCCUUAGGGAACGGGCUCAACUGUGGACAGAAAUUAGAAAACUGCAGGAGCAG